rnacentral:lncRNA from 1 species
UGAGUUUAGGUUAUUGAAUGUCGUAGCUACGGAAUCAUCAUUAUUUUCCAAUGAAGGGAAAGGGGAUCGUUACGUCUUUUGUUGCAGAGCUCGGAUGAUUGAGGUGCAAAGAGAAGAAAGGGUUUUUGUUUAAAUAGGCCCAAAUAAUUAGAUCAUUUAAGUCUAAAUUAUAAGGCAUUAAGCCUGUGAUGGUGGGAAACGAUAAAAGUUCCGAUCCCAAUAUUAAGAUGACUUGGCAGAAUGAAUGGCUGAGAAUAUUUUGCCUAGGUGGCACCCUUUAGAACAUCUAAAAUUAGUCCCUAUUAUAUAGUGGGAUAUACUAUCGUCUUUGAAUUUUGUGACAUUCCUAAAAUAUUAUAUUAUAUUUUUGAAGUAUCAAAAUGAUUUUCUACAGGCGGCCCCCGAAAACAAGGGCGUUUAAAAUGAUUUGGAAUAUUUUAAAAAAUAUUAUUUCCCUAAAUAAUUACACUAGAAAAACUGCCAAUUAUUGUAAAAAAUGCCAAUUGGAAAUUCCAAUAGAACACAACAAAAUAAGAGAUUUGUUUUGUAAUGGUUUGGACAAAAAAAAUACUUUCCAUAAUCGUGUUGAUUACUGGAUUAAUUUGGGAUAUACAAAUAAUGAGAUGAAAAAUAAAGAAAAUCUUUGAUAAAAAAAUAAAAAAAAGUAGCCAUGUAAAGAUUUUAUCAGAAAAAAAUGUCAAUUAGAAAUGAAGAGGGAUAAAAUUCUCUCUCUCACGCAUAACCUUGUAGUUAUACAUAACAUGUUAUACUAUACUAUAUUAUAUUAUAUUUAGCAAUUAAUAAUAUAGAAAAUUGAUUCAUAUCACUAUCAACAUAGAGAUAAUAAUGACUUUCGGCUAUAGAAUAGUACAUAAUAAUUAGAUAACUUAUAUAUUUUACAAUAAAAUGUUAUUUUUAUUUUAUGUUUUACUAAUAAAUAGAAUGGUAUAUUAAAUAGUCACUUUUCAUCAUCG